UGGGGAAUAUUGGGCAAUGGAGGAAACCCUGAUCCAGCCAUGCCGCGUGAGUGAUGAAGGCCUUCGGGUUGUAAAACUCUUUCGACGGGGACGAUAAUGACGGUACCCGUAGAAGAAGCUCCGGCUAACUUCGUGCCAGCAGCCGCGGUAAUACGAAGGGGGCUAGCGUUGUUCGGAAUUACUGGGCGUAAAGCGCGCGCAGGCGGUCUUCCAAGUCAGUGGUGAAAGCCCGGAGCUCAACUCCGGAACUGCCAUUGAAACUGUGAGACUUGAGUACGAGAGAGGUGAGUGGAAUUCCCAGUGUAGAGGUGAAAUUCGUAGAUAUUGGGAAGAACACCGGUGGCGAAGGCGGCUCACUGGCUCGUAACUGACGCUCAGGCGCGACAGCGUGGGGAUCAAACAGG
rnacentral:rRNA from 1 species